UACGUAGGGACCAAGCGUUGUUCGGAUUUACUGGGCGUAAAGGGCGCGUAGGCGGCGCGGUAAGUCACUUGUGAAAUCUCUGAGCUUAACUCAGAACGGCCAAGUGAUACUGCAGUGCUAGAGUGUGGAAGGGGCAAUCGGAAUUCUUGGUGUAGCGGUGAAAUGCGUAGAUAUCAAGAGGAACACCUGAGGUGAAGACGGGUGACUGGGCUGGUUCUGACACUGAGGCACGAAAGCGUGGGGAGCGAACGGG
rnacentral:rRNA from 1 species